UACGUACCGUACGAACGUUAUUCGGAAUUACUGGGCUUAAAGGGUUUGUAGGCGGCCUUGUAAGUCAGGUGUGAAAUCCCUCGGCUCAACCGAGGAACAGCGCUUGAUACUGCAAGGUUUGAGGGAGACAGGGGUAAGCGGAACUGAUGGUGGAGCGGUGAAAUGCGUUGAUAUCAUCAGGAACACCGGUGGCGAAAGCGGCUUACUGGGUCUCUUCUGACGCUGAGGAACGAAAGCUAGGGUAGCGAACGGG
rnacentral:rRNA from 1 species